rnacentral:lncRNA from 1 species
UUAUAGAGGAACAAAGCAACAACAGAAAUGUCAACCAACUCUAGAAGUACAAUAGAGAAGUAUUUCUUGCCUAGUUUAGGGUAAACAGAUGCUUACAAUCUCUGAGAAACAUCUGUCCUUAGAACAGAAAUCUCAUUCACGAGAGAGGUGAUUUGCUUCUCUUUAGACUCAAUCGCACUGGCAGCUUCUUCACACUUUAUCAGAUAGCUCUUCUCCAUGUAAGAUAACUUAUCCCUCAAUUUAGCAAUCUCAUCUUCCAAGGCUUCCCUGCCAACCUCGGCCUACACAUGAAAACUACAAAAGUCAAUGUGCAUAUAAAUAAAGAUACAGAGGCUUCACUGUAACGUAUAUAAAAUGUUGAUACCUCUGCCUUGUAGUCCUGAUGGGCAGAUUCCAAUUGCUUUAACGCAACUUCAUUGGAGUCCGCAAUUUCUUUGUACUGUACAAGAGUUAAUGUUGGGUGAUUCAGAAGAGUCAGGAUUCAGGAGAUCAAUGCAUUGUGAACUGAUUGCAAAAUUGCACUGGGACUUCUCUUAUAACUUCUGGAUAAAUGAGCCUAUCAGAUUCUAAAUUCUGAAGAACAAAGCAAUCAGGUUGCUAACAGGAAAAACAAAAAGGAAAUGGAGAGUAUCAUUUUACCAUGAUUCCAAAGCAAAGUAAUAUGGUAAAAGGUGGUUUCAAGGUUUCCUUUACUUUCUCAGUGCAUAUAAACAUGUCUAAAUCUAGGUAAGUAUGAUCUUAUGAAAAUUAACGCAGUCAGAGAUAGGCACCUGAACCAUGUAGUUCCUAUUUGCUUGUGCUUCCUCCUUGUACUUUUCUAACUGCUCUUUCAACUGGAAUAGCUCAUCAUUCUCCUAUGGGAAAAAACACACCGUCAUGUAUCAAGCUAUCACCAAGUUCAUACAGAAUGAGCUUCAUACAGGAGAUAGGGUAGGGGUGAGAGCAUAUAACUUUCUCUGCAAUGAUUCAGGGAUGCUCGAAAAGAAAGUAUGAAAAGACAAGGAUAUUAAAAGUCAUUCAGAUGAAAACAUCAGUACCAUAGUCCUUAGCAAUAUCCCACACCAAAUACAAAUUUAGAUACAUGGUUAUUUGAGUACAGCAAAAAUUAACUCAUAGACGCAACAAAAAUAACUCACCUCAGAUGUGGCUGGGAUGUCACGGCCAGUGUCCCUAAAAGUGACCUGGUAGAACAACAGCACAAUUAGGAGCCUACAUGAUUAUGAUCUAUCCAGCACAGCAUAUAAUCAGAUUUCAAAAUUAUGUGAGGUAAAAACAGGCCAUUUUUUAAAAUUUGGCCAUGAACAACGGACAUAAUGUACUCCUUCGCCUACCAAAUAGAUAACAUUUUUUACUAUGGUGCAAGUAUGUUUUUUUGGCAAACUGGCAGGAGACCUGAUGUGGGACAAUUAAUUUUUAAAAUAAUAUGUUGCUAAAAAGAUAAAAUCAUACGAAUAUAAUUCUGAUGGAAAUCAACUAGUGUUUGUUUAGAAACAUUCACGAAGAGGAAUGCAUCAGUAACGACACUCCAAAAACUAAACCUGGUUCUGUCAAUGCUAGCUCCAAAAACAUCCAGGUACCCUACAAGGACUGCAGCAGCAUACUGUUGCAGCUAAUCAGUUUAAUAUUUAAUUAUUAUAAUUAUUAUUAUAGAUCUCACUUUUAACUGAAUAAAAAUGGUGCUUUUACAGGAGUAAGAUCCUCACAAACGCAUGCACUUUGGUCACUGCUACAGAGCUAACAUUUUAUAUAGCCAGUUCACUAAAGGGGUGUUUGGAUACACCCCCCUAAACUUUAGUACCUGUCACAUCGGAUGUUUGGAUACUAAUUAGGAGUAUUAAAUAUAGUCUAAUUACAAAACUAAUUGCACAAAUGGAGUCUAAUUCGCGAGACGAAUCUAUUAAGCCUAAUUAGUCCAUGAUUUGACAAUGUGGUGCUACAGUAACCAUUUGCUAAUGAUGCAUUAAUUAGGCUUAAUAGAUUCGUCUCGCGAAUUAUUAUAGGGGUUCUGCAGUUAGUUUUAUAAUUAGCUCAUGUUUAGUCCUUCUAAUUAGUGUCCGAACAUCCGAUGUGACCCUCCUAAAGUUGAGUACGUUGUAUCCAAACAGCCAUUAAAAAAAGCUCAGAUAUGUUGAAAACUAUGAAGACUAUCAGUGCCAAAAAUACAAACCUUCCUUGAUUUCAGCUUUGCCUCUAAAUCAGAACAUUUGGCCUGCAGAAAGAAAAAGGAAACAAUUACUACCACAAUCUCGUAUAUAAUGCCAUCAGUCUAGCAACAAUAAAAAGAUUUCAACAAACCUCUGCAAUGGCAGCCCUUGAUUCAGCAUCAGAAGCAGCUUUCAACGAGCUCUGCAGCCCCUUUCUCAUAUCCUCCACCUGUUUCAUACAGCUGUCAAACAUAUUUUUCUGAUCAAGGUUCAGAACACGGACAAGGUCUCCCUGCUCCUGAAGCUCCUUAAGCUCAGCCCAAUCCCUCUGCAGAUUGAUUCAGAUUGUGAAUAAUAAGAAAAAUGUAUAACCCAUGCUUGAACACAAGAUAAGUGGUCUUAAAUAUUUAACCCUCAAAAAAGAUAAACACAAAACAGAACAGUAGUGACAAAGCAGAUGGAAGAAUCAUGAAUCAAUCAUGCAUAUUCAAUAAUCUUUACUACUUCAAAAUCGGAAUUGGUGGUGGUGGAGGCUGGUGAUAGGUUGCACACUUGUGUUACCUCCACCUUGGAGGACCUUCUUUGGGAAAUUCUUUGUAUUCAUGUAACCAUGUGUAUGUAACAAAGAGGGUCUAUAUAUGGAAUUUGUGGAUUGAAGACUUAAAGUUCCAUAGCUAGAUAAAUGGGAGUUAGUAAAGAAUUACCUUUUUUCUGAACACUGUAAAGAAUUACUAGGUUAGUAGAUCUAAGACAUGUCAUUUAUUUCAAAAUCAUGGCAACCCACAGGUCGGUUUAGUGGCACCUAGUACAUGACUAUAGUUCCAAAUGCAUUAUUCUAAUUUGGGUGUGCAUCAGUCAUUAUUAUCAAGGUAGCUGGUUAUAAAUGAUUAGCAACAUAAAUGAGUAAUUCGGUUAAAUUGCUUAAACUUAAGUACCAAAUGAUCAUAUAAAACCAUAAGCAGUAAGAAUCUAUGAUCAGUAAAAAAAUUCUACCACGGAUGAACAAUGGGGGCCUUCCCUCAUUCUCCAGCCAUGAAAUAUGGUGCCUACGAAAAAUGGUUCACAUGGAUAUAAGUAAAGAAAAGUACCUGCCGUUCAUAAUUUUCUUCGGCGGAUCGCCAACGCUUGUACUGCUCAUCUAGUGCACUCUUUGAGGAAGCCAAUUCCAUUUCUAAUUUUUCUACCUGUGGUCUGUUAUAGAGGAACAAAGCAACAACAGAAAUGUCAACCAACUCUAGAAGUACAAUAGAGAAGUAUUUCUUGCCUAGUUUAGGGUAAACAGAUGCUUACAAUCUCUGAGAAACAUCUGUCCUUAGAACAGAAAUCUCAUUCACGAGAGAGGUGAUUUGCUUCUCUUUAGACUCAAUCGCACUGGCAGCUUCUUCACACUUUAUCAGAUAGCUCUUCUCCAUGUAAGAUAACUUAUCCCUCAAUUUAGCAAUCUCAUCUUCCAAGGCUUCCCUGCCAACCUCGGCCUACACAUGAAAACUACAAAAGUCAAUGUGCAUAUAAAUAAAGAUACAGAGGCUUCACUGUAACGUAUAUAAAAUGUUGAUACC